GUUUACCGAGCUUCUCAAAUGCUGGUGGCCUUGUCAGAGGAGCUGCAGGUGGCAAUUGAAGUUCAAGAUGUCAGCCCACCAGGAGGAAACUCCCUGAUGGGUCAAUCUCAGACAGAAAGAGACAUUGGAUAACCUAUGAAACACUCCUGGUCAACGAGAGCCUGUCAUCUGAGAGUCAUGCUACUUUACUCUUUGCCAAGUAACUUUUGGAAGUGCUCUUGUGGUGAGAAGGGAGGUAGAGACAGAAAAACUUUGUGUGCUCAGGAGUCAGCUAGCCUGAAGGAUACAACAGUAAACAGCGAAGAGACCUUGUCUCAAAUUAGAUAAGGGAAGUUAAGGGAUAUCAUACAGAAAAUGCUGCUAAAGAAUGUGAAGAACUGAGAAAUGUGGAUAUAAUAAACAUUUAGUAUGUGAAACAAUCGGAGGUAACGGGAGACAGCGCAUUGGAAGGAUAACUGUUGGAAUUUUACACGUGAGAGUGGCUUCAUUCAAAAAGUGGGAUGGGAUGGGAUGGGAGAGACUGGGGACGCCUCUACCAGGCAUUUUGAGUUAUCAUUUAUUUUGAGGUGAUUUUGGUCCCGGCAAAGGCCUCUGUUCAAAGGCUAUAAGAAAAGGCUCUUCAGUCUUUGGUCCAAAGAACGUGUGUUCUCUCCAAGGCUGCCAGAUUCCAGGUCUGGGAAUGAAUGGUGAGCCUUGGGGCAACCACGUGUCCUCAACUAGAGAUGCAUUCCUAGAGAUUUGUGGUCUCUCCAUCUGGGCUGCAGGUGAUGGAUUAGAUCAGGGAUGGGGAAAAGGCCCAAGAGGGGAUCUGAGCCCCUGGGCUCAGCAGGGGAUCUUGCUAGAUUAGUAUGAAGAUGGCAGUCAGGACCAAGCAGGGGAAUUCUCAAGUUGUCACUGCAGCACAUAUGGGUCAAGUGGGGAGCGGGUGGCGGGUGACGGACAGUCUGUGCAACAAUGAAGGGGCACUUGUGCUUUUGAAAAAAGAGCUAUAAUAAAGUUCUUGAGCAGAGAAGGUCACAGAAACCAUGCACAACCACACAGGCAAGAGCAAAGAUGAGGGAAAAGGAUGUUCAUAAAGGAAGCUGGAUACGUCUCAUUACAUUAGCUGUGAACCGCUCACAGGGAAAGUCAGCCCUCGACUCUGUGACUAUGUGGAGUGAGGUUGAAAUAAAGGCCACAUAUUUUAUAUCCUGAGUCAGAGUAGCUGAUUUCAAGAUGGUCAGCCUUAGAAGAUCAGGCUGAAAUCCUAGAUCUAUUUAUUCUUAAUUUCUUAAAUACAUUUGUAUUAUCUUGCCAGGGUUAAAAAUUAGACUCUGCAUUUGUGUGCCAUCUAAAAAGGUAAGCAUGCUUGAGAAUCCAGUAUACAGUACAUGGUGGUCAAUAGUAUUCACCGACAGUCUUCUUACUCUUUGGGACAGAGAUUGGGAUGUUACAUAGAACGCUUUGGUGGGGGACAAUAGUAGAACAUAUCACGUCAUUCAUUCUCCCCUUUCCCUUGUAAUAUGCAGUAACUGUUUAUGUUGUGCUGCUCCUAUUCUAGUUGGAGACAGACAUGUGAAUCAAUGAAAAUCUCUGCGUCUGGAAUAGACUUUAGGUUGGGAUAGGAACUUGGAGACCAUAUUGAGGUGAAAGCCAGGAAUAGAAUUAGAAGAAAAUGGAAUUGAGGCUGAGAGCUAGGAAGUUAUGCUUCAGCCUCUCCUUCCCCAGAUAGCUUCGAAGAUUCCAUCUGGGACUCAGGCUACACCAACCUGAGGACAGAAAACCAGAGGGAACCUGAGAUCCAGGAAGCAUGCAACACUGGCCACCCUCUAUGGAAACUUGUCACAUUUCCCAUUACUGCAACUUCUGGGUGACAUGUAAGCUACUAAAGGAACUCCAGAGGAGCAGCUGAAUUUCUGAUGAUAACUUGUUGCCCAUGGUAGAUUGCAUUUGGAGGUAUGUGAUGUUCUGAAUAAUUGCCAGUUGCCUUGUGAAAAAAUACAGGGUUCAUCUCGACGAACAACUUACCCAAUAGACAGGAGUGAAAUGAUGGCUGCAUGAAAUGAGACCCAAGAUCAUAUGGGCUUUUGUGUUUUGUGCCUCUCUCUCUGGUUUGUGAGUUUCUUGUUGGCUAUGUUGAUUCUGCUUUAUGAAUAAUGAAGGAAGGACCCACACCUUUUCUUUCUUGCUGCUCUGUGAUAUUUGUGGUGGUUUUCUUAACCUUUUGGUCCAAAUCUGCUCACUGCUAGACUUUGCUUCUAUCUAGAAGCAACGGCAUAAUGGAAGGGGUGAAUGUGUUUUUUUCUCAUUUGAACUAAUAACCUGAUGCCACACGUUUGUCAUCAUCUGUGCUUAUGAUUCAUUCUAAGGGUCCCAGGAAAGGCCACUUUGUCCUGGCAAAUUCAACAUAUAACUUAAUCUCAAAGGGUCAUUUCUUUGGUCAUAUCAAUGCUUGUCAGCUUAAUAUACACAUCAAGGCAGGCCCGCUUCUAGCGCUGCUCCACGUGGUUCCUCAGUCUUCUUUCUGCCAUUACCACUCUUCAGACUUACCUCUGUCAGUAGGGUUUUGGUUUGCAGUUAUAUGUCUAUAUAAAUCUGAACCUCUGGCAAAGUAGAUUCUAACCAUGUCUAUUAUAUGACACAGAGUAGAUGCUCAAAACUCCUGCCUCUGUUACGUGAUUGGUGAAUGAACGAUGUCUAUCAGAUGUGUGACAAAAUGUUACACAAUUCCUGCAUGAAAACAGACAUUCAGCUGGACCUCCUUUUCCUACUGGAACAAGUUGAACAUUUUCUCUUUGAUUUCUUGGGGGGCUAUUUAUUUUAAAAGUUUUUCUUACUAAGCUCGAGGACCCUAAGCUAGACCUUACCUUACCUGGAUGCUUCCUCCCUGAGGACUAGUUUUCUUUGUAUCAGAAGGUGUCAUGUAAGCUUCUAAAAGAGGGAAGCAGCCAACAGUCCUUUGUAGCUAUGCUAUGUUAUUUCUACAACAGUGAUUAGUAUGGCAUAAUAACUCUAAGGGUGCGGUAGUGGCAUAUAUACCUUGGUAGUAACCAAUAGCUCUCUGAUUGAACUUAAGACCUGCUCAACAAGAGGAAAAUCAUACCUUGUACUAGAAACCGAGCUAACUAUGCAGGGUAGUGAAGUUAUAGAUCUUGGAGGAGAACCUACAACUGCCACUUUACUAAACCAGCAUAUUUUCCCCCUACAUUAUAAAUAUCUAUCCUUAUACCUACAGGUAGGUGUAGUCCUCACCCCUCAUCAAAGACACUCAAUUACCGAAAACCACGACCAAUCAUAAUGCAGAUUUCCGGAGGCCAGUCCCAAUGGGAAUGUCUGUGAAACAACUGCACGUAAGGCCCAGGGAUAAUUACAGAUGAAAGGGAUGAAAUAGUGUAAGGGUUAGAGGAUCAGGGAAUUUGCUGUGAGAUUGUGUCUCUUAGUGAUGUCAGAAGGUAUGCUCAUAAAGGACAACAAUAGACAUGCCAACACAGAAAGUCCAUUAGGCCUCCACUCUGUACAAACUAUAAUAGGCAAUGGAGGAAUAUCAGGAGCAGGAGACAGUUUUCUCCAAGGGAGAACACAUGAAUUAGUUAUCCA